AAACCAGAGGCCAAUUCAGCUGCUUAAACAGUCUAACCUGUUCUGCUCCAGUCCUCUUCCUGCUUCACUCAGACUGAUGGAGCUUUCUGAGGUCUGGAUCAUUUAACUCCUUUCUACUGUCAAAUGAGAGACGUCUUCAGGACCCCUGACAAGCAGUGGUCUGAUCCAGACAAACGGAAGCAGACCUCUGAGAACCAGGUGGCUCUUCAGGACGGAGGGAAAAAGGAUGGAAACCUGGUCCGGGUCGGUGUGAUGGUGGCUGACAGCGGCCCUGGAGCCCCCCUGGAGCUCCAGUCUCCGUGAUUCAAGUUCCUGACACGUCAAGAAAGAACAGCAGACGAUCCAUGAUGGAGCCCGUUCUUCUGUCUUCUGUGUUUGGGGUUGACAUUUAACCCAGUAAAGCCGAAAACAUUAAAUAAUUGACAGAAAAUUCCA